GUCUGAUUCAAAGCUUAUAUGAUUUCCCCUCUAGAAAUGAAGGCUUAAUUAAGAGUUUUGAUUAAUUGAGAUUAUACACACGCAAGAAAAAAGGCUUCAUUUUGGAUUUGAAAGCCCUAACUCACAGGGUAGGAAUGUAAUAAGUUCAAUUUCUAAGUACACUAUUUUGUUAGCCUCUAAGCACUGUUUUCUUCUUUGUUUGGCUAAACAUUGCUACCUCUUCAGCACAGUUCUAUCCAGAAAGCCUCCGCUUCUUGGGAGAACUCACUCAGCAUCUCCCUCUUGAGUCCAUUCCUUUUGCAAAUACCAGCUACACUUGUCUAGUUUGUAUUGGAAAGAGUUUCUCUAUCUCAGAUUAGAAAACUCUGCCUGCAUUAAAAGAGAAAUUCCAGCAAUAUGCUUGGAUAGGGUAAUCAGCCCAAGUCUAUCACAUUGAAUUAGUGGCAAGAUAGUUCCUAUGACUUCAUUAACUCUCCUAUUAUCAGCAUUCAUGUUGUCCAACUGAACCUCAUCUAAAUAUUCCUGUAGAGCAUCAUUAUUUAAGUUUAAAGGCACUUAAAAUCAAGUCACACAAUGGUUAUGGAUUGGAAUCAGUGCAGGCUAUUUAUAGAAAAGCACUGAAUAGACAUAUAGAAUGGACAGAAGAUGUGCUGUUUUAAAGCCUGCUGUAUUUAUGGCAACAUCCCAACAAGGCUCAUUGGGCACCUACUAUGUGCAAGAUACUAAAUAAUGCAUUUCAUUCUUUUUGCUGUACACAGGAAACCACACAUUCAAAAUAAUGCUAACCUGUCAAGUUAUUGAUCUGCACUGUACAUAUUUCCUGGUCAUAGGCAGCUUCCACACAAGAACAUCUGGAUGCAAAUUAAAGAAUUCAAUUACUCAAGCCUAAGUGAUAGAGGAGACCUCGGCUACUCUGCCUGAGCACAUCACUGCUGGAUCUCAAAAUCUGCAAGAACUUCCUAGGGCUUCAGGAACUUUCAUGUGCAUACCAGUCACCUGGGAAUCUUGUUACGAUGCAUAUUCUUUUUCAGUAAGCCCAAAUUCUGCAAUUCUUAUAAGGUCUUAGGGGACAUGAUGUUUGCUUCUAGUGGUCCAUGGUCUACUCCUGAAGGUCCACCAUGCCCAGCUUCAUCUCCCCACCCUCUGGAAACUCUCCUGUACCCAAGCCACUUGCUCUCUUCUAAAUAGGCAUUGUGUUCCCAUGUUCCCAUGUGUCUGCCUCUUUCAACUUCUCCUCUAAAAAUUCUCCAUGACCCCCAAGCAUAAGCCUCCAGCAGCAAGCUCAAAAAUGCUUUCUACUCUGUUGUGUUGCCCGGCCCACUUCAAGAGUAGAUGCUCAAUUCCUUCUUCCCCUAGUCGUAUUUGCUGCUACUUUUGCAGGCUGCUGGAACACUUUCACUCUGAGGAUUCUGAUGAACACAGUUCUUGCCCUCUUCACUUUUCCAAUCUGGUUGCAGGCACAGCGGGGGACAGCAGGAGUGCAACACAGUAACUUAAUAUAAUAUGGAGCUGCUAUUAUGGAGGGAAACAUUCACUGCUCUGAAAGGACUCAACAGCUGAGUCUUAAAGAAGGAUUUUACAAGAUUGACAAAGAAAUGGGUUAUCUCCAGAUAGGAAGGAAAAAUCACAAGGAAUAGUACAGCAAGGAAAGAGGAAACAGCACUGGACUUGGGGAAAAGGGAAAUCCUUGAGAUGUUGCUAAGGCAUAAAGAGCAAGACAGAGAGUGUCAGAAGAUGACACUGACGUCACCUGACUCCUGCUGCUGAGCUUCUCUGACAUUUUCUCAAGGGCUCAAGGCUUGGAUACCCUCUGAUAUGGUUUAUCUGUGUCCCCGCCCAAAUCUCACCUUGGUUUGUAAUCAUCUCCAUGUGUCAAGAAUGGGACCAGGUGGAGAUAAUUGAAUCAUGGGGGCAGUUUCCCACAUACUGUUCACAUGGUAGUAAAUAAGUCUCAUGAGCUCUGAUGGUUUUAUAAAUGGGAGUUCCCCUGCACAGGCUCUUUUUGCCUGCCACCAUGGAAGACACCCCUUUGCCCUUCCUUUAUUUUCUGCCACAAUUGUGAGGCCUCCCUAGCUAUGUGGAAUUGUGAGUGCAUUAAACCUCUUUCCUUUACAAAAUUACCCAGUCUUGGGCAUGUCUUUAUUAGCAGCAUGAGGACAGACUAAUACACCCUCUUUCAAUACCUAAAAUAGACAAAGCCCUAUUUGGAAUUUUGGAAAAACACAAUCUAGUCUCCGAAGGUAGGCACAGAAGCUCUGAGCUGACACAAUAUUGAAGUCGUUACUUGCCUGGUCCUUAGGCAUUUCCUAGUCCACAAUCACACAUCCA
rnacentral:lncRNA from 10 species